rnacentral:ncRNA from 1 species
UCCAGCAAAAUUUGCCAAAACCGAUAGCUCUUUCUCGAUUCUGUGGGGGGCGGGUGGUGCAUGGCUGUUCUUAGUUGGUGGAGCAAUUUGUCUGGUUAAUUCUGAUAAUGAACGAGACUCUGGCAUGCUAACUAGUUAUGUAACCCCCGAGUGGUUGGGGCGUCCAACUUCUUAGAGGGACAAGUGGCUUGACCAGGGGAGGGGCUGCAGAGGAGAACAUGAAGAAGCGGCUGCCAGACU